GCAGUAGCCGCGGUAAUACAGAGGGUGCGAGCGUUAAUCGGAAUUACUGGGCGUAAAGCGCGCGUAGGUGGUUCGCCAAGUUGGAUGUGAAAUCCCCGGGCUCAACCUGGGAACUGCAUCCAAAACUGGCGAGCUAGAGUAUGGUAGAGUGUGGUGGAAUUUCCUGUGUAGCGGUGAAAUGCGUAGAUAUAGGAAGGAACAUCAGUGGCGAAGGCGACCACCUGGACUGAUACUGACACUGAGGUGCGAAAGCGUGGGGAGCAAACAGGAUUAGAUACCCCCGUAGUCCCUGUCUCUUAUAA
rnacentral:rRNA from 1 species